UCAGCUAGAGAGAGAAUAACUAAACCAGAGAAGACAAGAGGUUGUGUUGUUAACGACGACGAAGAAGACGACCAAUGAUGUCUUCCGGCGGGGACAGUGGGAAGCCAUUUUUCUGUCACGUGUGCAAUCAGAGGAUAACGUGCACCGAUGAGUCGGAACCGUUCUGCCCGAUCUGUCUGGAAGGUUUCGUGGAGGAAUGGAACCCUAAUAACCAUAGUCAUAACCCUAACCCUAAUUUCACCCAUGAAAGUGGGGGAGAAUCUAUGGAUCCCGAAUUCCCGUUCGAUUUAAUCGACACCAUGCUCCCCCUCUUGCUCAACGCGGGUUCCAGGACCCGCCGCGAAGCCGACAUGUUCGACCCAAGGACCUACCUCCAGAACUACCUGCAGAACCUUCGCGCCGACGGCGCUAACAUUCAAUUCUCCUUCGGCAACCCUUCCGACACGGGGUUCCGCCCCUCGUCAAACCUUGGCGACUACUAUCUCGGCCCGGGCUUUGAGCAGUUGAUUCAGCUGCUCGCCGACAACGACCCAAACCGUUACGGCACGCCACCGGCCGCAAAGGACGCCGUCGAAAAUCUCCCCACAGUCACUGUCGGCGAUGAGUUGCUGAACUCUGAAAUGAACCAAUGCGCGGUCUGCCAGGACGAGUUCGAGAAGGGCACGCAGGUGACGCUGAUGCCUUGCAAGCACGCGUAUCAUGCUGACUGCCUGAUUCCUUGGCUUAAGCUGCAUAACUCUUGCCCCGUUUGUCGGUAUGAACUGCCCACCGAUGACGCGGAUUAUGAGAAUCGGACGCGGAGCAGUGGCGAUGAUGGUGGGUCGAGGUCUGAUGUGAGCGAUAGUGGCAGUGGCAGUGGCGGUGGCGCGGGAGGGGGAAAUGGUAGACCUGUUCACCGGACUGUUAGAAUAUAUUUGCGGCAUCCUUUUGAUGCAGGUGACUCUGCGCAGGACAGUUCCGAAAGGGGAUGGGAGAGUUGGGAUUGAAAUUUGUAGAGUGACGAAGCUUUAAUGCUCAUGAAAAUAAACAUGCCUUCUUGUACAUCAGCCAAUCUCGGUGGUUUAAAAACUUAUUCUGUAUAUUUCAUUUUGUGGUCAUUUUUAUAUUUGGGGUUUUAAUGAUCUGAACUGCAUCUGAAUGAAUUGUUAAACUGUUUAUAUUCUGUUACGUGUAUCCCUAACUUUCUUUUGUUUCUGUAUAGUUUCCAUGUUUAUAGUUCCUUUUCUCAAUAUUUUUAUCUGAAAUCGAUGUGUUGUUUGUAAUGGUAACUCUUUGUUGAGAGCUUUUGACCAUGGAGCUGGUUGUCCCGCACUCUUGCACAAAGAAGUGGUUUAUGCAGGAACAAAGAGAAAGAGGUAUUGUUCGUGUUUAAAACUCUGGAAACUAUUGUGCAGCUAAGGGUUCCGUGAAUAGAUUACUAUCUUUGCCAUGUUUGCAGAAGUCCUUGUGAGGAUUGUAAGAGAUGUUAUUUUGCGUGGCCAUGAACAUGAACUUUGUUCGAUCAAAGCGGAUUGCAUGAAAGCUCACAAUUAUUGAGACUUUAGGUACUGCGUUAUUUUGUACAGAUCAUCUUCCAAACAUCCAUUAUCGAUCAUCCUUUAUGCAAUACUUAGUUAGUCAUGGUCUAUAUUUCUCCUAUGUGUGUAUAAAACGUUUUAAUUUCGAAAUUUUUAUUUCAACCAUUUUAGAAGUA